AGGCUUUGAUCCUGGCUCAGGAUGAACGCUGGCGGCGUGCUUAACACAUGCAAGUCGAACGAACCUUCGGGUUAGUGGCGGACGGGUGAGUAACGCGUGAGAAUCUGCCCUCAGGAGGGGGAUAACGGCUGGAAACGGCCGCUAAUACCCCAUAUGCCGAGAGGUGAAACGAAUUUCGCCUGAGGAUGAGCUCGCGUCUGAUUAGCUAGUUGGUGGGGUAAAGGCUACCAAGGCGACGAUCAGUAGCUGGUCUGAGAGGAUGAUCAGCCACACUGGGACUGAGACACGGCCCAGACUCCUACGGGAGGCAGCAGUGGGGAAUUUUCCGCAAUGGGCGAAAGCCUGACGGAGCAACGCCGCGUGAGGGACGAAGGCCUCUGGGCUGUAAACCUCUUUUCUCAAGGAAGAAGAUCUGACGGUACUUGAGGAAUAAGCCACGGGUAUAUCCGU
rnacentral:rRNA from 1 species